rnacentral:hammerhead_ribozyme from 1 species
AUCCAGACGACGAAUCUCAAACAGGACGAAACGCGUGUCCUGGAU